rnacentral:rRNA from 1 species
GACGAACCGAGCGAACGUUGUUCGGAAUCACUGGGCUUAAAGGGCGCGUAGGCGGGCUGCCAAGUCCGUGGUGAAAUCCCCCGGCUCAACCGGGGAAGGGCCUCGGAUACUGGCGGCCUCGAGGGGGUAGGGGCGUGCGGAACUGUGGGUGGAGCGGUGAAAUGCGUUGAUAUCCACAGGAACUCCGGUGGCGAAGGCGGCACGCUGGACCCCAUCUGACGCUG